AUUUUUUGUCAUGGUUUCUUAAUUAUAAUUUUAAGCACAUCAUUUGAACGUUAAAGUCAUAAUUAAUAUAAUACAUUUAUAGUUAUUAAUAUAGAACAAUUGAGAUUUACCAAAGCAUGAUUUUUUUCUUCUAAUGUGGCAGAAAUGGACUCUGAUAAAAAGAAGCAGCUCUGGAUUUUACAUUAAUGUUUUAUGAGGCCGUCAAGUUCUGUAGGCUAUAUAUUUUUUUAAUGCAAUCCAGAUUUAUAUGUAGCUCAAAUAUUUUUUGAUGCUUCUAAUUUCAAAAACAAUCCUCAAAUAAAAAUGAUAAGAUAAAAAAAUAAAAAAUAAAAAUAAAACAAUUAUUUCAAAUGAACAUUUAAAAAACUUUAAGGCUGCUUUUGAUCUUUGUACAAAAAAAAAAAUGCUUUAAAAAAUUAUUUUUAGUUUAAUUUCAUUUUUCUGUGCAGCACUUUGUCGUUAUUAAAUGGGCUAUAAAUAAAUUAAACUGAAACUAAAAGAUAAAAAUCGAUACUUUUGACCCAUACAAUGUAUUUUUGGCUAUUGCUACAAACAUAUCCGUGCUACUUCUAACUGGUUUUGGCUCCAGGGUCACAUAUGUGGUAAUACAUUAUAUAUAUUUUAUAUUUAUGUUGGCGUAUUUAUGAUAAAGUCAAAACGAUUUUGGACUUCUGUGGCAUUGUGAAUUAUCUCUGAGCUCUUUCCAAUAAAGCUCGAAAGCAUUGACCUUGCGUUGACGUCACGACAAUAUCCGGGUCUCCGCGCAGUGUCGCUUGUGCGCAGGCGCAGUUCAGCCGGUGUUUUCGACCUCUGCUUUCGGUGAGUUGGAUAGAAAUCAUUGCGUUCACACAACUCUACAUUCAUCUUCAGUCUGUGUGUUCUCGGGUUUGUUUGGGAUAGUGUUUGCACACGCAUUCGAAGUCCCAGGCCGCUCAGAAUCACUCCCCUGUCAACAUGUUCACCUGCGCGAGACUCGUCUCCACACCUGCCCUGGUGCGUGUGGGAUCCAUGUCCCUGUCCAGGCCGGUUUCUGCUGCUUUUCUUUCCAGACCAGAGGUCAAACUAGAGGUCCUGCCUCAGUCGGCUCUAAUAUACUGAUUAAGAAACAUUUCUCAUUAUCAAUUCUGAAAAUAUUAAUAUAAUAUCUAGUAAUAUAAUGCUGCUUAAUAUUUCUGUGGAAACUGAUUUUGGUUUUUCCAGGAUUCUUUUAUGAACAGAAAGUUCACAAGAACAGUAUUUAUUUGUAAGAGUAUGCAAUAAUUUGCUGUUACAUUCAAUCAGUUCAAUAAUAAUAAUAAAAAGCAUUUAUUUAUUUAUUUAUUUAUUUAU
ensembl:lncRNA